GAGGGUACAGUUCAGCGGUAGAGUGCGUGCUUAGCAUGCACGUGGUCCUAGGUUCAAUCCCUAGUACCUCCA
rnacentral:tRNA from 1 species